GCGAGUGAAGCGGCAACAGCUCAAAUUUGAAACCUGGCGCUUGCGCCCGGAUUGUAAUUUGUAGAGGAUGCUUCUGGGCAGCGGCCGUUCUAAGUUCCUUGGAACAGGACGUCAUAGAGGGUGAGAAUCCCGUAUGUGACCGGCGCGCACCCUCCACGUAGCUCCUUCGACGAGUCGAGUUGUUUGGGAAUGCAGCUCUAAAUGGGAGGUAAAUUUCUUCUAAAGCUAAAUAUUGGCCAGAGACCGAUAGCGCACAAGUAGAGUGAUCGAAAGAUGAAAAGCACUUUGGAAAGAGAGUUAAAAAGCACGUGAAAUUGUUGAAAGGGAAGCGCUUCCAACCAGACUCCGCGGCGGUGUUCCGCCGGUCUUCUGACCGGUCCACUCGCCGCCGUGGGGCCAACAUCGUCUGGGGCCGCCGGAUAAGACCGGAGGAAUGUAGCUCAUUGAGUGUUAUAGCCUCCGGUGAUGCGGCGCGUCCCGGGCGAGGUCCGCGCUUCGGCAAGGAUGUUGGCGUAAUGGUUGGCAGCGGCCCGUCUUGAAACACGGACCAAGGAGUCUAACAUCUAUGCGAGUGUUCGGGUGUCAAACCCCUACGCGUAAUGAAAGUGAACGGAGGUGGGAGCUUCGGCGCACCAUCGACCGAUCCUGAUGUCCUCGGAUGGAUUUGAGUAAGAGCAUAGCUGUUGGGACCCGAAAGAUGGUGAACUAUGCCUGAAUAGGGUGAAGCCAGAGGAAACUCUGGUGGAGGCUCGCAGCGGUUCUGACGUGCAAAUCGAUCGUCAAAUUUGGGUAUAGGGGCG
rnacentral:rRNA from 1 species